rnacentral:rRNA from 1 species
AUUGAACGCUGGCGGCAUGCCUUACACAUGCAAGUCGAACGGUAACAGGUCUUCGGAUGCUGACGAGUGGCGAACGGGUGAGUAAUACAUCGGAACGUGCCCGAGAGUGGGGGAUAACGAAGCGAAAGCUUUGCUAAUACCGCAUACGAUCUCAGGAUGAAAGCAGGGGACCGCAAGGCCUUGCGCUCACGGAGCGGCCGAUGGCAGAUUAGGUAGUUGGUGGGAUAAAAGCUUACCAAGCCGACGAUCUGUAGCUGGUCGGAGAGGACGACCAGCCACACUGGGACUGAGACACGGCCCAGACUCCUACGGGAGGCAGCAGUGGGGAAUUUUGGACAAUGGGAGCAAGCCUGAUCCAGCCAUGCCGCGUGCAGGAUGAAGGCCUUCGGGUUGUAAACUGCUUUUGUACGGAACGAAAAGACUCUGGUUAAUACCUGGGGUCCAUGACGGUACCGUAAGAAUAAGCACCGGCUAACUACGUGCCAGCCGCCGCAGUAA